CAAAAGCAUCUGCAGGCGAGGAUGUUUUCUUUGGAAAGCACGUGCUUGUUUUCUGAGGAAGGGUGCCAAGUUUAUUUUUGAGGGGAGAAAGCUGAGAUUUAAGGCUGCUAACCUCUCUGCUGCCCUGGGAUGCCCGCAGGAGCAUGACUCCUGCUUGCAAGUGCCUGUGCUGAACAUCCUGAAUUUGCACAAAAUCAUUCAAAAUGCCUCAAAAGAAACUCAAGCUGUGGGGGUUUUAAAUGUUCAGUGGUGUAUUGCUGUCAUAAGCUCACGCUUGCCCGCUCUAUUUAUGUGCUGCACUUUUCCAGGCCGAAGCAGGAAGCUGCAAGGCAGAAGACAAGCAGUCUUUCUAACUUUGCUAUUUCAACUUGUUUCUCUUGCUGCAAACAGCCAAGAGUUAACUUUCUUUUUGUACUGGAAGUUUCCUUCUCCAUGUCUCCACCUUCGUCUGCUGCCACUCAGGAGACGCCUCUUGAUUUCCUCUUGCUGGAUGUGCUAGACUCGGACUGCAGCCAAGGACCAGUAAGAGAAGAUGGGAAAUCCUUGGACAUCAAUGGGCAAACUGAGGGAGUCAGAUGCUACAAAGAGAAGACAAGAGAGGAGGCCCAGCUCCAGGCCCCCUCUUAGCCCUGCAAUGAGCAGUCCAGGACAGCUGGCACUAAUUGGCACUUUCCUUGGCGGCAGAUGAAGUGUGGAGGAGACAAUGGGGCCUGGGCUGGCUCCUCGUGCCUGGAGGUGAUCCUCAGUGCUGAGACCAAAGAUCACUGAGAGCACAGCGAGGAGAAGCUGCAGCACUCAGGGAAGAAAAGCCUGAGUCUGGAGUGCCAGUCCACAUGCACAGGAUGUGUGCCCACCAGCAGGGCACACGGUGGCAAGCCCAGGGGCACACGUGAAGAGACAGCAGAGCUGCUGGCCACUGAGCACCAGUGGUGUGGCAAAGCCCAUGGUCACAUCGGCUGGCCACGAGCUGCUGGUGGCUCCAGUGAAACACUCAGCAUCAGGCUUCCUGUGCCUCCCUGGGAGCUCACAGCAGGAGGGGAAAGGGCUUAUGGAAAGCUCUGUGCAGUGGUGGCGUUGCUUCAGCCAGACUGGGAAGAAAUGUAAAGCCGUGACACCUGGAGCACAAACAGGCAGCUAGAAAGGACAAGCAAGAGCAGGAAACUUCUUCAUAACAGGACAUCACUUGGCAAGGAGGGAUAAAGGAAACAUAAUUUCUUUUUAAGAAAUGAAAUUAUCAUGUAACUUCUGGAUUGUAUUAUAACUGGGAUUUUUGUAUGGAUGAGCAGUAAUUCCAUCAGCACCACACUUUUUUUUGGUGAGAAGUAUAUUUAUUAUCUAUUGGCAGCUCGGAGACACCAUUUCCUUUUGAACUUCGUGAACAAAUUCAAAUAGGGAGGGGGAGAAAAACCAUCCCCACUUUUCAAAAGCUUCUCCAUGGUCAAAGGGGCCCUGAGCUUAAGCUGCACUGAGGCUCUGAGCCAGCUGCAGCAGCAUCCCAGCA
rnacentral:lncRNA from 1 species